AGAGUUUGAUCAUGGCUCAGAUUGAACGCUGGCGGCAGGCCUAACACAUGCAAGUCGAACGGUAACAGGAAGCAGCUUGCUGCUUUGCUGACGAGUGGCGGACGGGUGAGUAAUGUCUGGGAAACUGCCUGAUGGAGGGGGAUAACUACUGGAAACGGUGGCUAAUACCGCAUAACGUCGCAAGACCAAAGAGGGGGACCUUCGGGCCUCUUGCCAUCAGAUGUGCCCAGAUGGGAUUAGCUUGUUGGUGAGGUAACGGCUCACCAAGGCGACGAUCCCUAGCUGGUCUGAGAGGAUGACCAGCCACACUGGAACUGAGACACGGUCCAGACUCCUACGGGAGGCAGCAGUGGGGAAUAUUGCACAAUGGGCGCAAGCCUGAUGCAGCCAUGCCGCGUGUAUGAAGAAGGCCUUCGGGUUGUAAAGUACUUUCAGCGGGGAGGAAGGUGUUGCGGUUAAUAACCGCAGCAAUUGACGUUACCCGCAGAAGAAGCACCGGCUAACUCCGUGCCAGCAGCCGCGGUAAUACGGAGGGUGCAAGCGUUAAUCGGAAUUACUGGGCGUAAAGCGCACGCAGGCGGUCUGUCAAGUCGGAUGUGAAAUCCCCGGGCUCAACCUGGGAACUGCAUUCGAAACUGGCAGGCUUGAGUCUUGUAGAGGGGGGUAGAAUUCCAGGUGUAGCGGUGAAAUGCGUAGAGAUCUGGAGGAAUACCGGUGGCGAAGGCGGCCCCCUGGACAAAGACUGACGCUCAGGUGCGAAAGCGUGGGGAGCAAACAGGAUUAGAUACCCUGGUAGUCCACGCCGUAAACGAUGUCUACUUGGAGGUUGUGCCCUUGAGGCGUGGCUUCCGGAGCUAACGCGUUAAGUAGACCGCCUGGGGAGUACGGCCGCAAGGUUAAAACUCAAAUGAAUUGACGGGGGCCCGCACAAGCGGUGGAGCAUGUGGUUUAAUUCGAUGCAACGCGAAGAACCUUACCUGGUCUUGACAUCCACGGAAGUUUUCAGAGAUGAGAAUGUGCCUUCGGGAACCGUGAGACAGGUGCUGCAUGGCUGUCGUCAGCUCGUGUUGUGAAAUGUUGGGUUAAGUCCCGCAACGAGCGCAACCCUUAUCCUUUGUUGCCAGCGAUUAGGUCGGGAACUCAAAGGAGACUGCCAGUGAUAAACUGGAGGAAGGUGGGGAUGACGUCAAGUCAUCAUGGCCCUUACGACCAGGGCUACACACGUGCUACAAUGGCGCAUACAAAGAGAAGCGACCUCGCGAGAGCAAGCGGACCUCAUAAAGUGCGUCGUAGUCCGGAUUGGAGUCUGCAACUCGACUCCAUGAAGUCGGAAUCGCUAGUAAUCGUGGAUCAGAAUGCCACGGUGAAUACGUUCCCGGGCCUUGUACACACCGCCCGUCACACCAUGGGAGUGGGUUGCAAAAGAAGUAGGUAGCUUAACCUUCGGGAGGGCGCUUACCACUUUGUGAUUCAUGACUGGGGUGAAGUCGUAACAAGGUAACCGUAGGGGAACCUGCGGUUGGAUCACCU
rnacentral:rRNA from 1 species